rnacentral:rRNA from 1 species
UAAACUGGGAUUAGAAUACCCCACUAUGCUUAGCCAUAAAACAUUAACCCACACUCAAACCGCCAGGAAAUUACGAGCCCAAGCUUAAAACCCAAAGGACUUGACGGUUUCCCAUCCCACUAGAGGAGCCUGUUCUAUAAUCGAUUAUCCCCGAUCAACCUCACCACCUCUUGAAUUUACAGCCUGUAUACCUCCGUCGCAAGCUUACCCUGUGAGCGCACUUAGUGAGCUUAAAGAUACUACAUCCACACGUCAGGUCAAGGUGCAGCCAACGAGGCGGAAAGAAAUGGGCUACAAUUUCUACUUUAGAAUAAACGAAAGGUUAUAUGAAAUAUAACCUGAAGGCGGAUUUAGUAGUAAAAAGAAAACAGAGAGUUCUUUUUAACCGGGCACUGGAAUGCGUACACACCGCCCGUCACCCUCUUCAGAUAACAAACAUAAGUUUUUAACACUACCCUAUAUCAUAGAAGAGGCAAGUCGUAACAUGGUAAGCGUACUGGAAAGUGCGCUUGGAGCAAAAUGUAACUUAAUAAAAAGUACCUUGCUUACACCAAGAACAUGUCUGUAAAAACCUGACCAUUUUGAGCCUAAACCCCAGCCCCUACAUACCUAAUAAAUACAAUUUAUAAAUGAAAUAAAUUAAAACAUUUUCUCAACCUAGUAAAGGCGAUUAAAAAGUUUCUAGGAGCCUCAACAUUAGUACCGCAAGGGAACAGUGAAAUAAAAAUGAAAUAAAUUAAAGCACUAUAAAGUAAAGAUCUA